AUUGAACGCUGGCGGCAGGCCUAACACAUGCAAGUCGAGCGAGCGGCGGGCGGGGGAGUAAUGUAUGGGGACUGCCCGAUAGAGGGGGAUAAAACCUGGAAACGGUGGCUCAUAUCGCACACUGUAUGAUAACCCCUAUGGGAGUAGCUAGUAGGUAAGGUAAAGGCUUACCUAGGCGACGAUCCCUAGCUGGUCUGAGAGGAUGAUCAGCCACACUGGGACUGAGACACGGCCCAGACUCCUACGGAGGCAGCAGUGGGGAAUAUUGCACAAUGGGCGCAAGCCUGAUGCAGCCAUGCCGCGUGUAUGAAGAAGGCCCUAGGGUUGUAAAGUACUUUCAGUCGGGAGGCGUUACCGACAGAAGAAGCACCGGCUAACUCCGUGCCAGCAGCCGCGGUAAUAC
rnacentral:rRNA from 1 species